rnacentral:rRNA from 1 species
UACGAAGGGGGCUAGCGUUGUUCGGAAUCACUGGGCGUAAAGGGCACGUAGGCGGCCGAUCAAGUCGGGGGUGAAAGCCUGUGGCUCAACCACAGAAUUGCCUUCGAUACUGUUUGGCUUGAGACCGGAAGAGGUUAGUGGAACUGCGAGUGUAGAGGUGAAAUUCGUAGAUAUUCGGAAGAACACCGGUGGCGAAAGCGGCGCGCUGGACCCCUUCUGACGCUGAGGCGCGAAAGCCAGGGGAGCGAACGGG